GACGGUAGUAUUCCCACCUUGUAACCUGAGCUGGUUGGAUCUCGGAAGCUAAGCAAGGUUGUGCCUGGAUGGUACUGGGUUGUGCGACCUCCUGGGAGAACCAGAUAGCUGAUGUAA
rnacentral:rRNA from 1 species